UACAGAGGGUGCGAGCGUUAUCCGGAUUCACUGGGUUUAAAGGGUGCGUAGGUGGGUUGGUAAGUCAGUGGUGAAAUCUCCGUGCUUAACAUGGAAACUGCCAUUGAUACUACCGGUCUUGAAUUUUCUGGAGGUCAGCGGAAUAUGUCAUGUAGCGGUGAAAUGCUUAGAUAUGACAUAGAACACCAAUUGCGAAGGCAGCUGGCUACAGGGAUAUUGACACUGAGGCACGAAAGCGUGGGGAUCAAACAGG
rnacentral:rRNA from 1 species